GAUGAAGAACGCAGCGAAAUGCGAUAAGUAAUGUGAAUUGCAGAAUUUAGUGAAUCAUCGAAUCUUUGAACGCACAUUGCGCCCGCUAGUAUUCUGGCGGGCAUGCCUGUCCGAGCGUCAUUUCAACCCUCAAGCCCCCGGGCUUGGUGUUGGGGAUCGGCGAGCCUCCGCGCCCGCCGUCCCCUAAAUCUAGUGGCGGUCUCGCUGUAGCUUCCUCUGCGUAGUAGCACACCUCGCACUGGGAAACAGCGCGGCCACGCCGUUAAACCCCCAACUUCUGAACGUUUGACCUCGGAUCAGGUAGGAAUACCCGCUGAACUUAAGCAUAUCAAUAAGCGGAGGA
rnacentral:misc_RNA from 1 species